AGAAAUUAUGUUGCAAGUAAUGGCUAUGCAUCUUCUACAGUAAAGAUCCCCAUGGUCCAUCUCUUCAGAGAAACUGAACAAGAACCUGUAUUGAUCUAUUGACCCAAGUGACCAAUAUGAGAUGAGACUUGAGCAACAAGGCAUUUAAGUAAUCUUAAUCUUUCAGAG